rnacentral:rRNA from 1 species
CUUGUUUCCUGGGCGGGCUCGCCCGCCACCAGGACAAACCAUAAACCUUUUGCAAUUGCAAUCAGCGUCAGUAACAAACAUAAUAAUUACAACUUUCAACAACGGAUCUCUUGGUUCUGGCAUCGAUGAAGAACGCAGCGAAAUGCGAUAAGUAGUGUGAAUUGCAGAAUUCAGUGAAUCAUCGAAUCUUUGAACGCACAUUGCGCCCUUUGGUAUUCCAAAGGGCAUGCCUGUUCGAGCGUCAUUUGUACCCUCAAGCUCUGCUUGGUGUUGGGCGUCUUUGUCUUCCCAGAAGACUCGCCUUAAAGUCAUUGGCAGCCGGCCUACUGGUUUCGGAGCGCAGCACAAGUCGCGCUCUCUUCCAGCCAAGGUCAGCGUCCACAAAGCCUUUUUUUCAACUUUUGACCUCGGAUCAGGUAGGGAUACCCGCUGAACUUAAGCAUAUCAAUAAGCGGAGGA